rnacentral:lncRNA from 1 species
ACUCCUUUGCACUUGAGUAGCUGACACACCUCCCUAAAUUGCUCAACAUGUCUGGUCUAAAGUCAAGGAAAGCUGUGGUGAGUCACAUGGCUCAAAGAAAGUAUCCAAUUGCACUUGAGUAGCUGACACACCUCCCUAAAUUGCUCAACAUGUCAGGUCUAAAGUCAAGGAAAGCUGUGGUGAGUCACAUGGCUCAAAGAAAGUAUCCAAGGCUCAACAACUGAAAACUACAAUCCUAAGCCUGGUGUGUAUAUGGGCUCACGAAUUAGGCUCAACUUCAUUAUCUGAUGCAUUUGAGUAGUCCAUCUUGAAGUUCAGACUCUCAUCUUUCCAACUACAUAUUAUUUGGGCCAAUCCAAGUUCGGAGAAAGAUGUUAAGGCCGAAAUGAGUUGCCAACCCCGUCUGCUCGUUUUUGCACCAUUUUGCAUCUUUUCUUAUCCAAAGACACCAUUGCUACCUAAGGCCCAAUGAACUGAAUGAUAAACAGAAAAGGGAUUAAAAGCACACGUUUGACUCAAUAACAUAACCAAAUCAUAAGCUAGAAGGGUACAAAAUGAUAUACAAUUGUGAACUGAUCA